rnacentral:rRNA from 1 species
CCUACGGGUGGCAGCAGUGAGGAAUAUUGGUCAAUGGGCGAGAGCCUGAACCAGCCAAGUCGCGUGAGGGAAGACAGUCCUAUGGAUUGUAAACCUCUUUUAUAAGGGAGUAAAACAAGACACGUGUGCCUUUAUGCAAGUACUCGAUGAACAAGGAUCGGCUAACUCCGUGCCAGCAGCCGCGGUAAUACGGAGGAUGCGAGCGUUAUCCGGAUUUAUUGGGUUUAAAGGGUGCGUAGGUGGGUUGUUAAGUCAGGUGUGAAAGUGUGGGGCUCAACCGUUAGAGUGCCAUUGAUACUGGUAGUCUUGAGUAAAGUAGAGGUAGGCGGAAUUCGUGGUGUAGCGGUGAAAUGCUUAGAUAUCACGAAGAACUCCGAUUGCGAAGGCAGCUUACUGGACUGCAACUGACACUGAUGCUCGAAAGUGUGGGUAUCAAACAGGAUUAGAUACCCGUGUAGUC